GGACUUCUUAGAGGGACUAUCGGUGUGUAGCCGAUGGAAGUUCGAGGCAAUAACAGGUCUGUGAUGCCCUUAGAUGUUCUGGGCCGCACGCGCGCUACACUGACGCAUUCAACGAGCAUACAACCUUCGCCGAAAGGUGUGGGUAAUCUUGUUAAAGUGCGUCGUGCUGGGGAUAGAUUAUUGUAAUUAUUAAUCUUCAACGAGGAAUUCCUAGUAAACGCAAGUCAUCAGCUUGCAUUGAUUACGUCCCUGCCCUUUGUACACACCGCCCGUCGCUACUACCGAUUGAAUGAC
rnacentral:rRNA from 1 species